rnacentral:hammerhead_ribozyme from 1 species
GUAUUGAUGAAGAGUCUCAAACUAGGACGAAACAGCUUUCCAGUAC